AUCGAACGCUGGCGGCAGGCCUAACACAUGCAAGUCGAACGAGUGGCGUACGGGUGAGUCAUGUCUUGGAAACUGCCUGAUGUAGGGGUAUAACUACUGGAAACGGUAGCUAAUACCGCAUACCGUCGGUUGUGGUCAGGUGGGAUUAGCUAGUAGGUGGGGUAUCGGCGCACCUAGGCGACGAUCCCUAGCUGGCCGGAGAGGAUGACCAGCCACAGUGGAACUGAGACACGGUCCAGACUCGUACGGGAGGCAGCAGUGGGGAAUAUUGGGCAAUGGACGAAAGGCUGAGGGAGCCAUGCCGCGUGUAUGAAGAAGGCCUUCGGGUUGUAAAGUACGUUCAGCGGGGAGGCGUUACUAACAGAAGAAGCACCGGCUAACUCAGUGCCAGCAGCCGCGGUAAUAC
rnacentral:rRNA from 1 species